GGUAGCCGGCCUGAGAGGGCGACCGGCCACACUGGGACUGAGACACGGCCCAGACUCCUACGGGAGGCAGCAGUGGGGAAUAUUGCGCAAUGGGCGAAAGCCUGACGCAGCAACGCCGCGUGAGGGAUGACGGCCUUCGGGUUGUAAACCUCUUUCAGCAGGGACGAAGCGAAAGUGACUGUACCUGCAGAAGAAGCGCCGGCUAACUACGUGCCAGCAGCCGCGGUAAUACGUAGGGCGCAAGCGUUGUCCGGAUUUAUUGGGCGUAAAGAGUUCGUAGGCGGUCUGUCGCGUCGGAAGUGAAAACCCGGAGCUCAACUCCGGGCCUGCUUUCGAUACGGGCAGACUUGAGUGUUGCAGGGGAGA
rnacentral:rRNA from 1 species